AAACAUGCAAGUCGAACGAGAAACCCGGGCUUGCCCGGGUGGACAGUGGCGAACGGGUGAGUAACACGUGAGGAACCUGCCCCGAAGACCGGGACAACACCGGGAAACCGGUGCUAAUACCGGAUGCCCUCACCGGACCGCAUGAUCCGGUGAGGAAAUGGAUUCCGCUUCGGGAUGGCCUCGCGGCCUAUCAGCUUGUUGGUGAGGUAACGGCUCACCAAGGCGACGACGGGUAGCUGGUCUGAGAGGAUGUCCAGCCACACUGGGACUGAGACACGGCCCAGACUCCUACGGGAGGCAGCAGUUAGGAAUCUUGCGCAAUGGACGAAAGUCUGACGCAGCGACGCCGCGUGCGGGAUGAAGGCCCUCGGGUUGUAAACCGCUUUCAGCAGGGACGAAAUUGACGGUACCUGCAGAAGAAGCCCCGGCCAACUACGUGCCAGCAGCCGCGGUAAUACGUAGGGGGCGAGCGUUGUCCGGAUUUAUUGGGCGUAAAGAGCUCGUAGGUGGUUUGGUAAGUCGGAUGUGAAAUCUCCAGGCUCAACCUGGAGGGGUCAUUCGAGACUGCCAUGACUAGAGUUCGGUAGAGGAGUGUGGAAUUCCUGGUGGAGCGGUGAAAUGCGCAGAUAUCAGGAGGAACACCCGUAGCGAAGGCGGCACUCUGGGCCGAUACUGACACUGAGGAGCGAAAGCGUGGGGAGCGAACAGGAUUAGAUACCCUGGUAGUCCACGCCGUAAACGUUGGGCACUAGGUGUGGGGUUCUAUCGACGGAUUCCGUGCCGUAGCUAACGCAUUAAGU
rnacentral:rRNA from 1 species